AAACGUCAUCCAAUAAAAAGCGCGUAUUUGAGAGUUAAUCACUAUUUAACUACAAAAUAGUGAUUAAAAAAGUGAUUAAGAGUUUUAUACAACGGCUCCUGGUUAUUUCAGCAGCGAACGAAAAAGAGUUAACUACUUUUUAACUGCAGUUAGCGCUAACUACGUUUUUAUACAACCGGCCCCUGUACAAUAACUUACUUGCGAUGGAUUCCCUUCGGACUCCAAACACGCGUAAUAUGCUCGGUUUAGUUUAUCAAAAAAUUUAGAUAUCAUGGCCAGUGGACAUUGAAAGCGAGGCAUCAAAGCU